GGAAUUUUCCGCAAUGGGCGAAAGCCUGACGGAGCAAUACCGCGUGAGGGAUGACGGCCUGUGGGUUGUAAACCUCUUUUCUCAAGGAAGAAGUUCUGACGGUACUUGAGGAAUAAGCAUCGGCUAACUCUGUGCCAGCAGCCGCGGUAAUACAGAGGAUGCAAGCGUUAUCCGGAAUCACUGGGCAUAAAGCGUCUGUAGGUGGUUUGGUAAGUCUGCUGUUAAAGACUGGGGCUCAACCCCAGAAAAGCAGUGGAAACUGCCAGACUUGAGUGUGGUAGAGGUAGAGGGAAUUCCUAGUGUAGCGGUGAAAUGCGUAGAUAUUAGGAAGAACACCAAUGGCGAAGGCACUCUACCGGGCCAUAACUGACACUGAGAGACGACAGCUAGGGGAGCAAAUGGGAUUAGAUACCCCAGUAGUC
rnacentral:rRNA from 1 species